GGCAGUGCUCUACUCCAAAAGGUGUCAGUCACUUAGAUUAGAUAUUUCCAGCUCCUUUCUGGGUAGAGCAAGAUUC
rnacentral:miRNA from 10 species